UACGUAGGGUCCGAGCGUUGUCCGGAAUUAUUGGGCGUAAAGGGCGCGUAGGCGGGCUGGCCAGUCUGGGGUGAAAUCCCGCGGCUCAACCGUGGAACUGCCUUAGAUACUGUCGGCCUCGAGGAAGGUAGGGGCAUGCGGAACUAACGGUGGAGCGGUGAAAUGCGUUGAUAUCGUUAGGAACUCCGGUGGCGAAAGCGGCGUGCUGGACCUUUUCUGACGCUGAGGCGCGAAAGCUAGGGGAGCAAACGGG
rnacentral:rRNA from 1 species